AGGACGAACGCUGGCGGCGUGCUUAACACAUGCAAGUCGAACGGAAAGGCCCGCUUGCGGGUACUCGAGUGGCGAACGGGUGAGUAACACGUGGGCAACCUGCCCUCAGCUCUGGGAUAACUCCGGGAAACCGGUGCUAAUACUGGAUAUCGACUUCUGCCUCGCAUGGGGUGUUGUUGUAAAGUUUUUCGGCGUGGGGAUGGGCCCGCGGCCUAUCAGCUUGUUGGUGGGGUGAUGGCCUACCAAGGCGACGAC
rnacentral:rRNA from 1 species